AACCAGGGAGGGGGGGAUGGCGGAGCGGGCGCCGGAGCCCGAGGCGGAGGCGGAGGCUGAGGCGGACGCAGGCGGGGAGGCGGCGGCCGAGGAGGGCGCGGCGGGCCGCAAGGCGCGGGGUCGGCCGCGGCUCACGGAAUCGGACCGAGCCCGGCGGCGGCUCGAGUCCCGGAAGAAGUACGACGUGAGGCGUGUGUACCUGGGCGAGGCGCACGGGCCCUGGGUGGACCUGCGGCGCCGCAGCGGCUGGAGCGACGCCAAGCUCGCAGCCUAUCUCAUCUCGCUGGAGCGCGGCCAGCGUAGCGGCCGCCACGGGAAGCCUUGGGAGCAGGUCCCCAAAAAGCCAAAGCGGAAGAAAAGGAGGCGACGCAACGUGAACUGCCUGAAGAACGUGGUGAUCUGGUACGAGGACCACAAGCACCGCUGCCCGUACGAGCCGCACCUGGCCGAGCUGGACCCCACCUUCGGCCUGUACACCACAGCCGUGUGGCAGUGCGAGGCCGGCCACCGCUACUUCCAAGACCUGCACUCGCCCCUGAAGCCACUCAGUGAUUCAGACGCCGACAGCGACAAAGUGGGCAAUGGCCUGGCGGCCAGCAGCUCCGACCCUUCUAGUUCCGGCUCCGGUUCUGACUCGGAGGAGCCCCCUGAGGGCCCGCCGGCCAAGGGAGCGGCCGUGGCGGCGGCGGCGGUGACCCCCUCCAGCCCGGCGGGCAGCAGCGGGCUCAUCACUCAGGAGGGCGUGCACAUCCCCUUCGACGUCCACCACGUGGAGAGCCUGGCGGAGCAGGGCGCCCCGCUGUGCCCCAACCCGGCGGGCAGUGGGCCCGAAGCCCUGGAGACGGUGGUGUGUGUGCCGGUGCCCGUGCAAGUGGGCCCGGGCCCCGGCACCCUCUUUGAGAACGUGCCCCAGGAGGCGCUGGGCGAGGUGGUGGCCGGCUGUCCCGUGCCAGGCAUGGUGCCCGGCUCGCAGGUGAUCAUUAUCGCAGGCCCCGGCUACGACGCCCUCACGGCCGAGGGCAUCCACCUCAACGUGGCAGCAGGCAGCGGUGCCCCCGGCGGGGGCCUGGGGGACGAAGUGCCCUGUGCCGUGAUGGAGGGCGUAGCAGCCUACACCCAGACGGAGCCCGAGGGCAGCCAGCCCAGCACCAUGGACCCUGCCGCCGUGGCAGGCAUCGAGACCAAGAAAGAGAAGGAGGACCUGUAUGUGCUCAAGAAGGAGGAGAAGGAGGAGCCUGUGGCCCCAGAGCUGGCGGCGGCAGUGCCUGAGAGCGCAGAGCCCGAAGCCGAGGCAGACGGGGAGGAGCUGGACGGCAGUGACAUGUCGGCCAUCAUCUAUGAGAUCCCCAAGGAGCCCGAGAAGAGGCGGCGGAGCAAGCGCACUCGGGUGAUGGAUGCCGACGGCCUGCUAGAGAUGUUCCACUGCCCCUACGAGGGCUGCAGCCAGGUCUAUGUGGCCCUCAGCAGUUUCCAGCUUCUCACCGACCCUGCCUCAGCCACAGGGCACCAGGCGUCACCUCGCUGCCUUCCCCUCCUGCUCUCCAGUGACUUGUCCUGCCUUCUCAACCAGCCUCUCAACUCCUCCUGCCUUUACCCAGGCCACCUUCUCGGCUCAGGAUGUCCCUCCCCCAGGAAGCCCACCCUAGUCCCCCAGGGCGGGUGGGGCCUUUGAGCCCCGGAUGACCGCACCACCAGGACACACCUGUAGUUUGUCCUCUGGAGCCUGGACGGGACGCCCCAAGGGCAGAGCCAGGGUCUCGUCACGUUCCCACUGGUGGCAGGAGGCGGCACCAGUGGCCCUUUGCAUUUGCCGAGUUUUGUUUUCAUUAAGCAUGUAUUGAGCACCCACCAGGUGCCAGGCCCGGUGCCGGGCACUUGGAGCUGCAGGGGUGCUGCAGGGGUGAGUUAAAGAAUAAAAGAACAAAGGAAUGAAUGACUCGGGGUGGGGGGCAGGGAGAGCGAGGUGGCUGCCUGCUCCAGGCCGUGGAGACCGCGUAGCUCCAUGGCAAAGCCUACUGUGGAAGUUCACCCUGGAAUCCAGUCCAGCCCUUCCCCUGCCCACCUGUGAGACACACGCCAAACUGGAAGCCUCUGGAGCCUCAUCCCCCAUCCACAAAGUGGGCAAAGGGCGGGGCCCCAGCACAGGGUUAUGACAAGGCUGACUGAUGCCCCAGCCCAGGCCCUGGCUGCAGCAGGUGCACAGUGAAGUGGCAGCAGAUUCCAGUUGUGCUCCGGGGUCCCUGCUCGGAGCUGGGAGUCCCUCCCAAGGGCAGGGGCACCCAUCUUCCUCCAGGGGGGCUGGCCCCAGCCUGCCUCCCAGCUCCCCUUCUCUGUCCCCACCCUGGGGAGCCCUGGAGGUGGCCCCUGGCACCCACAGCCCCGCUCCACCCCUCUUGCCUGCAGAACCAUGUCAAUCUUGUGCAUCGGAAAGGGAAGACCAAAGUGUGUCCGCACCCCGGCUGCGGCAAGAAGUUCUAUUUAUCCAACCACCUGCGGCGGCACAUGAUCAUCCAUUCAGGUGUCCGUGAGUUCACCUGCGAAACCUGCGGCAAG